rnacentral:misc_RNA from 1 species
UAAUAAGUGUUUUAUGGCACUUUUUUAAAUCCAUAUCCACCUUGUGUGCAAUGUCGGUCGAUCUUCUUUUUUUGAGGAUCGACCAAACAUCAACCUUUAUUUUUUAACUCUUUGUCUGAAAAAUAUUAUGAAUAAACUAAUUCAAAAUA